CCUCUCUCAGGGUCACACCUGGAGAGUUUCCAGUACUCUCCCAGUCUUGGCUACAGGAGGGAGAGGCAAGCAGAGGCAUGCCCAUUCCCUUCCUAGCUUGGGCAGUGGCUAGCAAGUGAAAGACAAUCUGCUACAAGU